CAUUAUUAUUAUGCGUCCGUCUUAUCGUCUGGUCUUAAUUUUUCAUUUUACGUAACGUUUAGCGGUUACAGUUUAUAAUUAGUACUUAUUAGUCACGAAAUUUACGUCUGUCCGAUAGUUGAUGUAAGAGAGCGGAAGAGCUCAC
rnacentral:lncRNA from 1 species